rnacentral:rRNA from 1 species
AUUGAACGCUGGCGGCAGGCCUAACACAUGCAAGUCGAACGGUAACAGGAAGAAGCUUGCUUCUUUGCUGACGAGUGGCGGACGGGUGAGUAAUGUCUGGGAAACUGCCUGAUGGAGGGGGAUAACUACUGGAAACGGUAGCUAAUACCGCAUAACAUCGCAAGACCAAAGAGGGGGACCUUCGGGCCUCUUGCCAUCGGAUGUUCCCAGAUGGGAUUAGCUAGUAGGUGGGGUAACGGCUCACCUAGGCGACGAUCCCUAGCUGGUCUGAGAGGAUGACCAGCCACACUGGAACUGAGACACGGUCCAGACUCCUACGGGAGGCAGCAGUGGGGAAUAUUGCACAAUGGGCGCAAGCCUGAUGCAGCCAUGCCGCGUGUAUGAAGAAGGCCUUCGGGUUGUAAAGUACUUUCAGCGGGGAGGAAGGGAGUAAAGUUAAUACCUUUGCUCAUUGACGGUACCCGCAGAAGAAGCACCGGCUAACUCCGUG